rnacentral:rRNA from 1 species
UACGAAGGGUGCAAACGUUGCUCGGAAUUAUUGGGCGUAAAGCGUGUGUAGGCGGCUUUGCAAGUCGGAUGUGAAAGCCCCGGGCUCAACCCGGGAAGUGCACUCGAUACUGCAGAGCUUGAGUGUGGGAGAGGUUGGUGGAAUUCUCGGUGUAGAGGUGAAAUUCGUAGAUAUCGAGAGGAACACCGGUGGCGAAGGCGGCCCACUGGUCCGGUACUGACGCUGAGGUGCGAAAGCGUGGGGAGCAAACAGG